UACGUAGGGUGCGAGCGUUGUCCGGAAUUAUUGGGCGUAAAGAGCUUGUAGGCGGUCUGUCGCGUCUGCUGUGAAAAUCCGGGGCUCAACCCCGGACUUGCAGUGGGUACGGGCAGACUAGAGUGUGGUAGGGGAGACUGGAAUUCCUGGUGUAGCGGUGAAAUGCGCAGAUAUCAGGAGGAACACCGGUGGCGAAGGCGGAUCUCUGGGCCUUACCUGACGCUGAGGCGCGAAAGCUAGGGGAGCAAACAGG
rnacentral:rRNA from 1 species